GUCCCUGUAGCUUAAACCAAAAGCAUGGUGCUGAAGACGCCAAGAUGGGUACUUCCCCCCAAGGAC
rnacentral:tRNA from 1 species